rnacentral:rRNA from 1 species
AGCGAACGCUGGCGGCAGGCCUAACACAUGCAAGUCGAACGAAGCCUUCGGGCUUAGUGGCGGACGGGUGAGUAACACGUGGGAACGUACCUUUUGGUUCGGAAUAACGCAGAGAAAUUUGCGCUAAUACCGAAUGAGCCCUUAGGGGGAAAGAUUUAUCGCCGAAAGAUCGGCCCGCGUUGGAUUAGGUAGUUGGUGUGGUAAAGGCGCACCAAGCCUACGAUCCAUAGCUGGUCUGAGAGGAUGAUCAGCCACACUGGGACUGAGACACGGCCCAGACUCCUACGGGAGGCAGCAGUGGGGAAUCUUGCGCAAUGGGCGAAAGCCUGACGCAGCCAUGCCGCGUGAAUGAUGAAGGCCCUUGGGUUGUAAACUCCUGUCAUAAGGGAACAAGAAAGUGAUAGUACCUUAAGAGGAAGAGACGGCUAACUCUGUGCCAGCAGCCGCAGUAAGAC